rnacentral:rRNA from 1 species
AUUGAACGCUGGCGGCAGGCCUAACACAUGCAAGUCGAACGGUAACAGGAAUCAGCUUGCUGAUUCGCUGACGAGUGGCGGACGGGUGAGUAAUGUCUGGGAAACUGCCUGAUGGAGAGGGAUAACUACUGGAAACGGUAGCUAAUACCGCAUAAUGUCGCAAGACCAAAGAGGGGGACCUUCGGGCCUCUUGCCAUCGGAUGUGCCCAGAUGGGAUUAGCUAGUAGGUGGGGUAACGGCUCACCUAGGCGACGAUCCCUAGCUGGUCUGAGAGGAUGACCAGCCACACUGGAACUGAGACACGGUCCAGACUCCUACGGGAGGCAGCAGCGGGGAAUAUUGCACAAUGGGCGCAAGCCUGAUGCAGCCAUGCCGCGUGUAUGAAGAAGGCCUUCGGGUUGUAAAGUACUUUCAGCGGGGAGGAAGGGAGUAAAGUUAAUACCUUUGCUCAUUGACGUUACCCGCAGAAGAAGCACCGGCUAACUCCGUGCCAGCCGCCGCGGUAA